rnacentral:miRNA from 1 species
UCUGCAGAGCCUCCCAGGAGCA